AUCUGGGUGGCUCAAUCAGUUAAGCAUCUGACUUCAGCUCAGGUCAUCUUGACUUUGUGGGUUCGAGCCCCACAUCAGGCU
rnacentral:tRNA from 1 species